GACACCAUGGGGGCAAGCUUCCAGUUCUGACCACUUUUUAAAACAUGCCUUCGCCAUUUUUGACCCUCUUGCCACUUAACCCAAUUCCCCGAGGCCCCUCUUCCCACUUGGCUCGGCAAACGUGUCUUUUAUUAUGACUCAGCCCCACUCGGCCCGCUCUCUCGGCCAAGCGGCUGACGCUCACGGCGGAGGCGCCCGGGCUUGCCGCUCGUGGACGAGGGCUCGCGCCCCGGCUCGCGCCCGUUGCUCCCGCUUUACGGCUGCUGCAAACCCGCCCGGCCCGGCAGCCGUACCGCAGACGAGCCCGCGCCCGCGCCGCUCAGGUGCCUGAAGAAGGUCUUGGAAUAUAUCCCUUGUAGGAAAGGGGGACUACUGUAUAUGUAUGAUUAGAUCUCCCAGCUGGACAUUGGAAAUAACUUUUGAUGGUGUAGGGACUUUUCCAUGUGACCCCAGUUGCUGCUGAUACCGAAUCCAGAAAGGUGAACAGAUUUCCCCUCCUAAUAAUACAACCAUAGCAACAGCAGCUGUGAUUGAGGAGAAAGCAGAAUAACAUCUCUUCAAGUGGGGACUCCCUGAUUCUGCAGGCGUUAUUCAUUAUCUGAAGGCUGUGAAGGAAAUUGAUAGACUAAGAACCUUGUCUGAUUCUCUGGAGAUAGGAAAACUGAAAGACAUUCAAUAAUAAUUUUGCUCAUUAAUCUUUAGAGGGGCAAGCCUCCAUGUACCUUCAAGAGGUCUUCUGACAAUAGGGUCUUGCAGUAUGUUGUUAUCUACCUUACCUUUUAUAUGUAUUUCUUAGGUCUCUAAGAGGGAGAAGGUUAAAUAGGGAAUUGUGUUUAGAUUGGCUUGACAAAUAAAACAGUCCAUGAUAUAAAAAACAAAACAAAACACAGUAACGUAUAAAAAGAUUUCCCAACUCAUGGUUCUGUAGUAAUGUGUUUGUAUGAGUUUUUAAUAUUACUGUCUGACACAGCAUAAUGGGUUCAGAGGGCAUCUCUAUUGACUUGGAUGAAGGAAACCAUGCCAUUUGAACUUUGUAGCACCUCUGAUGGAUGGAGCAUGGGAUUGAAAACUUAUCAUUAUCUUUCUUAUAAGGGCAUAUGAUAUUGGAUAAGUUAAAUGCACCAAGAUAGAAGUACAAAUUUCACCUUGCACACUUAAAGGCCUUCACAGGAAUUCGGAACACUCUCCUGCUGUAAUAUAACACAUGUUGCACUUUUUGAAUAUGGAUUCAGCAACAUCAGUCUUUUGAUACACGAGUCUUUAAUUCUUAUGUUAGAAUGAAAUGUUAGUAUAAAAUAUAUAAAUAUAUUUUGAAAAAGAAUAACUCUCUUUAAUUUUUUUGUUGAUUAGUUGGUUUGUGAGUUUGGGUGUUUUGGAUUUUUUUUUGUUGUUGUUCUAGAAUUUUUACUCUUUCUUGACAAUAAUGUCCCAUUAGACAUUCUCUGUGUACUUUUCUCCAUUUAUCAAGAUAUUUAUUUUCUCUGCUGAAAUGAGAUUAAAUAUUUUUAAACAUUUUAUUGUUGAUUUAAUAAUAUUUUUAAGGAAAGAGUCAUACCUGUGUGUUAUUUUUUUAAAAAUGAGAUUUUAGCAUAUGAUAGGCAUAAUAAUGUCACUCUCUAAUCCUCAUUAUGUAAUUUGACUUAUUGAGAGAUAUUUUUCAAUUCAUCAUGAAGAACAAAUGGCCUCGAGUUUUAUGUUAUAUGGACUGAUGGAAUUUAAAUUUCAGAAUGGAGUAUUCAUUUUUUAAACAUGGGGCAAUAGGCUUGUUUUUUAGACCAUCCUAAAGGAGUAACACCUGAGAAAGUAAUUAGAAUUUGUAGUUAGCAUGUGCUCAAGAAUGAUUUACAUAAUUCUGAUAUCAUGAGAUUUUCCCUGAGAGCCUUUUUUGUCUUGAGGUGAUUAAUCAGGUGAAUACAUUAAUUUGAUUUCAUCUAGAGAGAAUAUUUGAAAUUGUAACAUAUGAAACAUUCAUUUUAGAACUGCAAAGUUAUCUAAUUUGACUCCUCAUUACCAAAGAUCUUUGCUUAUUUCCAUUAAUUGUCUGAAUGACAAUGACCCUAAAACAACAGAAUUCAUAAGCCCUGAGAGCUAUGUCUAAACCAUCCCUGUAGGUUAUGGCUUGCUAUUUUUUUCUUUCAACUGUAGAUUUUUAGCAAUAUAUUUCUUUUUAUUGUGUUUAACUGUAACUGUAUUUGCUGUAUUAAGAGAGACAGACAAACAGAUGGACAUACAGGGAGAGAAUGAGAGAGAAAAAGAGUGGCAGAGAAGGGAUUUUUCAGGUUUCCUAGCAGUUAAUUUCACCAACUCUAAGCAAUCAAUAAGAUAACAGGUGAGGAGGCUAUAGAAUGUUUAUUCUCACUGUACUCAAGGUUUUCAAAUUCUCUUGUAGGACAAUCUGAAUAGUCAAAUAUUUUUCUUGGGUCUUAAAAGGUAAUUUACUAUAGGUUGGGAAAUGGAAGUGUUUCAGAUUUUAAUUUUUAAAAAUUUUUUGAUAUAUUUGCAUAUAUAUA